rnacentral:rRNA from 1 species
GACGAACGCUGGCGGCGUGCUUAACACAUGCAAGUCGAACGGAAAGGCCCUGCUUUUGUGGGGUGCUCGAGUGGCGAACGGGUGAGUAACACGUGAGUAACCUGCCCUUGACUUUGGGAUAACUUCAAGAAACUGGGGCUAAUACCGGAUAGGAGCUCCUGCUGCAUGGUGGGGGUUGGAAAGUUUCGGCGGUUGGGGAUGGACUCGCGGCUUAUCAGCUUGUUGGUGGGGUAGUGGCUUACCAAGGCUUUGACGGGUAGCCGGCCUGAGAGGGUGACCGGCCACAUUGGGACUGAGAUACGGCCCAGACUCCUACGGGAGGCAGCAGUGGGGAAUAUUGCACAAUGGGCGGAAGCCUGAUGCAGCAACGCCGCGUGCGGGAUGACGGCCUUCGGGUUGUAAACCGCUUUCGCCUGUGACGAAGCGUGAGUGACGGUAAUGGGUAAAGAAGCACCGGCUAACUACGUGCCAGCAGCCGCGGUGAUACGUAGGGUGCGAGCGUUGUCCGGAUUUAUUGGGCGUAAAGGGCUCGUAGGUGGUUGAUCGCGUCGGAAGUGUAAUCUUGGGGCUUAACCCUGAGCGUGCUUUCGAUACGGGUUGACUUGAGGAAGGUAGGGGAGAAUGGAAUUCCUGGUGGAGCGGUGGAAUGCGCAGAUAUCAGGAGGAACGCCAGUGGCGAAGGCGGUUCUCUGGGCCUUUCCUGACGCUGAGGAGCGAAAGCGUGGGGAGCGAACAGGCUUAGAUACCCUGGUAGUCCACGCUGUAAACGGUGGGUACUAGGUGUGGGGUCCAUUCCACGGGUUCCGUGCCGUAGCUAACGCUUUAAGUACCCCGCCUGGGGAGUACGGCCGCAAGGCUAAAACUCAAAGGAAUUGACGGGGCCCCGCACAAGCGGCGGAGCAUGCGGAUUAAUUCGAUGCAACGCGUAGAACCUUACCUGGGUUUGACAUGGAUCGGGAGUGCUCAGAGAUGGGUGUGCCUCUUUUGGGGUCGGUUCACAGGUGGUGCAUGGCUGUCGUCAGCUCGUGUCGUGAGAUGUUGGGUUAAGUCCCGCAACGAGCGCAACCCUUGUUCACUGUUGCCAGCACGUUAUGGUGGGGACUCAGUGGAGACCGCCGGGGUCAACUCGGAGGAAGGUGGGGAUGACGUCAAGUCAUCAUGCCCCUUAUGUCCAGGGCUUCACGCAUGCUACAAUGGCUGGUACAGAGAGUGGCGAGCCUGUGAGGGUGAGCGAAUCUCGGAAAGCCGGUCUCAGUUCGGAUUGGGGUCUGCAACUCGACCUCAUGAAGUCGGAGUCGCUAGUAAUCGCAGAUCAGCAACGCUGCGGUGAAUACGUUCCCGGG